GUCCACGCCGUAAACGAUGGGCACUAGGUGUGGGAGGUGUCGACUCCUCCCGUGCCGGAGCUAACGCAUUAAGUGCCCCGCCUGGGGAGUACGGCCGCAAGGCUAAAACUCAAAGGAAUUGACGGGGGCCCGGACAAGCAGCGGAGCAUGUGGUUUAAUUCGACGCAACGCGAAGAACCUUACCUGGGUUUGACAUGUUCCUGACCGCCCUGGAAACAGGGCUUCCCUCACGGGCAGGAUCACAGGUGGUGCAUGGCUGUCGU
rnacentral:rRNA from 1 species